ensembl:misc_RNA
UUGAAGGCGUGGAGACUGAAGUCCUCCCUCUGUCCGCAGAACAGGUGUGGCACAGGCCGCGGCAGUGCAGCUUUCCCACUGUCCCACCACUGUGCCUCAGUCCUGGCCAAGAGGGACCAUGUUGAGGGUAAGAGGGCUGUCAGUCUCCAUGCCCUUCAAUCUUUGGCUACU